AGAGUUUGAUCAUGGCUCAGAUUGAACGCUGGCGGCAGGCCUAACACAUGCAAGUCGAGCGGAUGAAGGGAGCUUGCUCUCUGAUUCAGCGGCGGACGGGUGAGUAAUGCCUAGGAAUCUGCCUGAUAGUGGGGGACAACGUUUCGAAAGGAACGCUAAUACCGCAUACGUCCUACGGGAGAAAGCAGGGGACCUUCGGGCCUUGCGCUAUCAGAUGAGCCUAGGUCGGAUUAGCUAGUUGGUGAGGUAACGGCUCACCAAGGCGACGAUCCGUAACUGGUCUGAGAGGAUGAUCAGUCACACUGGAACUGAGACACGGUCCAGACUCCUACGGGAGGCAGCAGUGGGGAAUAUUGGACAAUGGGCGAAAGCCUGAUCCAGCCAUGCCGCGUGUGUGAAGAAGGUCUUCGGAUUGUAAAGCACUUUAAGUUGGGAGGAAGGGCAUUAACCUAAUACGUUAGUGUUUUGACGUUACCGACAGAAUAAGCACCGGCUAACUUCGUGCCAGCAGCCGCGGUAAUACGAAGGGUGCAAGCGUUAAUCGGAAUUACUGGGCGCAAAGCGCGCGUAGGUGGUUUGUUAAGUUGAAUGUGAAAGCCCCGGGCUCAACCUGGGAACUGCAUCCAAAACUGGCAAGCUAGAGUAUGGCAGAGGGUGGUGGAAUUUCCUGUGUAGCGGUGAAAUGCGUGGAUAUAGGAAGGAACACCAGUGGCGAAGGCGACCACCUGGGCUAAUACUGACACUGAGGUGCGAANCGUGGGGAGCAAACAGGAUUAGAUACCCUGGUAGUCCACGCCGUAAACGAUGUCGACUAGCCGUUGGGAUCCUUGAGAUCUUAGUGGCGCAGCUAACGCAUUAAGUCGACCGCCUGGGGAGUACGGCCGCAAGGUUAAAACUCAAAUGAAUUGACGGGGGCCCGCACAAGCGGUGGAGCAUGUGGUUUAAUUCGAAGCAACGCGAAGAANCCUUACCAGGCC
rnacentral:rRNA from 1 species